ensembl:lncRNA
GCAUGCAUAAAGACGUAAAACGCAAAAGACCAAGUUCCGGUGAAAUAUCUCAAUCAUCUAUGCCUAAAGUUGUGCAGUAUUUCGGUGUAAUUUCGUGGCAGUUUCUAUCUACAGAUUAUGCGGUUGUGGGAUGUGAUGGCAUCUGAAAUACACAAUUGAAUUUAGAGUUAGUUUGUCACUUUCAUUCAUGUAGGGGUCCAGGCUCAGCAAUGAGAACAGAGCUGCUAAGUAAUUAUAAGUAAUUGCACCAAACUGCAUUCCAAUCGACAACCCUCAUUAUAAUCUCUCCAAACGCCUGUCACUCUUCUCUGACCAGAUUUCUCAAAUCCCUGGCCUCCCAGCUCAACCACGCAGGACCCAUGAAUGACGCGUGUCACUGUUCAACACAGGCUCUCUUGUAAACACAACACCCGCAACACAUGUAUCAAGUGGCCGAUCGUUUCGGUUUCACCGCGAUCAAAAUUUGCUUCGGGCUGGGUGAACCUCUCGCCGCUACCUCAAAGUAUCAUAUGCAAACUGUGUGCGUUUGUUAUGGAGCUCUGGCAGCGACUGAUGAGUGUCUCAUUAUCUCCACACCAGCCGUACACAGUAAGAAGAGCAUAAUCAAAGCCUGGGGGAUAUUUCAAUUUGAUGCUCAACAAGCUGAGCCUGAGAUUAAAGGAUCAUACGUGUCAUCCACACAAACAUCACUUCCAGAGCAGGCAAGCGUACGUGAGCUCAGCUUCUCCAAGAGAGAGGCAUCACAUCACCGCCACAGACGACGGAGUCGCACUUCUGUCUCCCCGCGUGUGAGGGUGUCUGUGUCCUCUGCGUGUUCGCGAGUGAAGGCUGAUGCGAUGCCUAUCACAUGUUUGAGAUGUCGAGGAAGGAGACUUUUCUUUUCGCUCUGUGUGUGUGUGUGUAUGCGUGUGACGAAAUUUGCUUUUAAGAAAUAUUUAUGAGCCUGUGCCCUUUAAAAAAAAGUAAAAAGAAAGCGUCUUUAAUGAACAUGUUUUAGAGAUUGUUUCAGCAUCUAUAAUUUAUAAGGUAAGACUUCAUCUGUGAACAGGGCUAGUUUGUAAAUGUGAAUACUUAAUAAUAAUGAAAAAAAAAAAACAUCUCAGACAGCUGCUGUACUGGCAUAAUAUGACACUUCUGCAGUAGACCGCUAAUCUCGGUAGAAGGCUGGUGUGUGUGUGUGUGUGUGGGGGGGGGGUGUUUCUGUGUCCAUAUCUUUGUGUGUGUUUGAUAUGGGGUGGGGGGGCUUAGCAUGUAUAGUGAGCAUACAUGUGUUGACGCUGGCAGCUUUUGAUUUUGGCAAAUCAGUUUGCACAAAUGGCCUCCCCUACUGAAGUGAUAAGAAUUUUAUUACUAGUGUAAAUACAGUUAGUCAUGUUGCACCUAAUUAGUCAGCUUGUUGUACUUUGGCACCCUAUUUAUUAAUCUAUUUCUGGAAGAUUCCUAAAUGAAGUGCUGAGACAACAUGUCUACAUUUGGUCUGGAUUUGGCUAACAUAAACUUAAAAAAACUAGCAAGCUGUCUUGCUGUCUACUGCCUUUAUAGGCAGCUGCCUUCCCGACUAAAACACAAACUUGUAAGUGAUGGAUUUGGAAUGCUCCACAAUGGUAGCAAAGGUAGUCUUGACUAGUCACAGAAAAUAUGGCCUUGGAAUUGGAUUUUAGAUGAACUUGAGUCUGAGUCCAGCCUUGUCUGGUCUUGAGUACUACAACACUGGUUAGCAUGUUGCUAAGCUAACAGCAUAAUACUAAUUUAUUAAUUAAUUUAAUUCCAUAGAGUUUGCCAUUACCAUGCUAUUUAGCUAACAACAUGAUACUCUAAUGAGCAUAAAACCCCAAAAUAUUGGGUGUUACGUUUUUUUUUCAAUACUUUUGGCAUUGAAUAAAUUAUCUGUAAUUCCUCUUGCUUUGUCCA